GUGGUUUUUCGUUAAAGUGAACAGUACCGGGUGCUUUUCAUUAAAAUUCCCUAUAAUUAAACAUUAUUUAUUUAAAUAAUUUGAUCAAAGUCCCUGACAGUAUUUAAUAGAUUUAACUCCUACAUUUAUGCAUUCAAUAUCCCACAAAUUUAAAUAAUAUUUUUACAAUAUAACAAUUACUUAAAAAUCAAUAAUAGAGUAAUAUCAUGCUUUACAUGGUUCUAGAAAAAAAAAAGAUAAUGUACCCAUGUAACUAUUGAUAUAUUUUAAGAAAUAACUAUUAACAUAUUUAAAAUAUAAAAUUAAUACAUAUAAUCAGCAUGGGUACAUUCACAAAAAAAUAUGGGUACAUAUCAAAAUUCAAAAUUAUGGGUACAAAUUAAAACUAAAAAGAAUAUUGGUACAAAUUAAAAAAAAAAGGAACAAAUUAAAAAUAGACACAUAUGAAAAAAAAUACUAAAAAGAUAUAUUUGGAAAUGAUUAAUAAGUUUUUCAUUUUUAAAAUUGACAAAUGAUGACUUGUAAAUAAUUUUAAUAUUCAAACAAUGACAUGGAGAUUAGUCAAGGAACUUUGAUCAAAAAUAAAAAAAGAAAUAAGGUUUCAAUUAAUGAGAAGAAAAAAUGAGGGUUGAGAACCUAAUUUAUCCUUAAUAAACCCUAAUCAUUAUGCUCUAGUUUUGGUUUAGAACGUCUCUAAACGACUGACUAGCUAGCUAGCUCAAGGAAGAAACCCUAAUUAUAUACUUGAAUUUUGGAAAGAAAGAACAUCUAUAAAUGGAUAUUUGUUUUCCUUAGAUUGCUUGAAGGUAUAUGUGUCUUAGUUAAUCUUUCUUUCCCAAAAAGAAGGUAAAGUAAAAGUUAAAAGAAGCUUCAUGAAAUUUUGGGCAAAUCAAAGUGCCAAACCAAACUUGAAACUAAUGAGGAACCGAGACCAAACUAGCUAGCUAGCUAAAGGAAGAAACAUUGACAGGCUAGAAAAAAGAAGAGAGAGAGAGAGAGAGAGAGAGAGGUACUGUACUGGCCUGCUGGGCUGCUUGAAGGGAAAACACAAUCUCCAAAUAUGAGGAGUUUGCCUUUUUCUGUAUAUGGAAGUUUCUUGAGGGAAGAAAUAAAUUUCCAAAUCUGAGCGACCCUACUUCUUCCAAUUUUGAAGCAUAAACUCUGAGACAAAUGAUAACACUAAAUAGAUUGACGCAAACAAGACACGGUGAUUGUCCUGACUCAGAUUUGCAUCUCUUAACAAUACCAAACAAAAGCCAAAUGGCCUACGGAAAGAGAAUAUGAUGACUCAAAGAAAGGAGAAAGGAGAGUCGUCAGAAGGAGCGGAUUACACAGCUUCUUUACAGAAAGUGAAAUAUUAUAUGUAAUUAUAUUAUAAUUUGAAACAAGUUUGGGAAGUUGCUGACGGAAACAUGGAUAGUAGAUCAUAUGUUUUUACGUAAGUAGUGAAAAUUUUUAAUUUUUAAGUUAUUAACCUUUUAACAUAAAUAAUUCAUAAUUUAUAUAUGAAUAUAUGAUAUAUUAUAUCGUGUGACGGUCACGUUGAAAAAUCUCUCUGCUCAAGGGGCUUCGAAUAAAGUUUUUCGUUGUUCACGCCAUUUGUCCAACUACUGCAACAAAGCCCUUCAAUGAAUGGGAUUGGAUUGGACAUAUGACCCGACAAAGUCUUUUGUGUCAUACACACCACCUGCGUUUAGGGUUGCAUGAUGUCUUUCCAACCAAGUACCAAGUAAAACAGUAGUGAUAAUACCAACUUAGAGGUAGAUUCUCUGCCUCCUCCUUUCCUUGUCUUCUAAUUGUGUGGUCACAAUUAAAUCACGUUAAUAUUUUAUAUUACUAUUCUUUUUUAUUUUAUUAUUUUUAUAAAAAAAUAAUAUAAAAUAUUAACGUAACUUAACCGUGAUCACACAAAACAAGAGGACACAGGAAGUAUGAGGACAGAGAAUCUGCCUUCUACCAACUUAUCCAAUUAAUAUUAAAAUAAUUACCCUAUUUGCUUCCUUAAAAUAAUACAACGGUCGUUAAUGAUGUGCACAACUACAAUUAGAUGAGGCAUUUAGGAGCAUUGCAUCAAGGAGUUUCAAAAGAUGAUGAAUUUAAAGUCGGUACAAAUGUUGUUAAUUAAGUUUCUUGUUUUACUAACAUAUAUGUUAGUUGUUGAGAUUUAAAAGAGAUACAAGUGAAAUUUAUAGGACAUGUUAGUGUUGAAUUUGAGUUUCGUCACAUCGUCGGAGAUCUAAGGUUUGAGUUCAAUGUCGGAGGGUUGAGGUUCAAUAACUAUGUCUAAAUACGCAUUUUGAGAAUAAGGUUCAAUGUGAGUUAAAUUCUAGGUUCAAAUUAAGAUCUUAAAAUAAAGAAAAUUUUGCAUUAACCUAUAUUUCUUGUUCUAACAUUUCUUAUCAUGUGAUAUGAGGAUCUACACGUGUGUUUACUCGGGUCUAACUAGGGUCCUAGACUCCUAUAUUGUAGCUAGGUUCAAGGCCUAUGUUUGAGGAAGGGGUGAACUACAGCACAUGAGUGGAUUGGAGCAUGAAGUUCAAGGUGCAAGUUUACGCUGAUGGUCUCAGGUCAACUAGGGUUUGAGCCGUUUGAAGGUUUAGGUUUGGUUAUGGGGUCUAAGUCUCUGGUAUGGGUAAAGUUUUCAUCUGUGCAAAGGAGGAUCAUGAACUUAA
rnacentral:lncRNA from 1 species